GUUGAAUGAAUGAGCAGUUGACUUCUGCCUUCACCCCCUGGAGCUUGAACCCGCGCCGCGAGCGGGAGAAGCCGGACUCAGGGCAGACUGAAUCUCCCGGGGCCACCGCUUAGAGCCUGGAAAGCAGAACUUUUAUCACCGGAGAGCUGGUGCAAGGGAGGUGGGCUCCUCAGAAGUAUCAGACCGUUUGCUAGGGGAUCCUCUGCAGGGAAAUUGUUUAGAAAGCCCUAAUUUGGAAGUCCUGUAUCCCCAAACUCCGGGGACCCCCCAACCUUAAGCUGAAGAAACUUAGACCCUCAUGCCCAGACCUCCCUUUCCCAACCAGCCAGCAGCCCAGAGAGCAUUCCCGUGGAGAAAGGGCCAAGGCGCAUCCCCGUCUUUUCUCCGUCAACGACUGCCUUUUCUUGACGAAGAUCCCAAAGGGGCUGCGCAUUUGAACCGCCUUGGGCUCCAGGUGGCGCCCUCUCUGGAGCUCCCCUCUUGGAAUUCAUUUCUUCCUGGAGAGACUUGGAGAAUGAAGAUCCAGGGGUUUCUCCCUACCUUGUACCGAGAAGUAACAUUGCAAGUAGAGUAAAUGACCAGCUUAAUUACGUUCACCUUCGAAGAAGAUUCCUCUAGAGAGAAAUUAUAUCCUCCUUGCAGCCUGUGAAGGUUUUCAUGCGUUUUAGGAAUAUAAAAGAAAGGAAGACAAACAUGUAGUAAAGAUAGUAAAGACAGAUAAAAGAAGAUUAUUCUGUGAUCCUAUACGAGUCAGUGGCUAAUGGAACUACCAAAAAAAUGAUAACAAUGCAAAUAAUGUAAUUGGUUCUAAGCAGUGCUUUGCAGGCUCCUAAGGAUGGUUCUAAGUAAGCCAGGAGUAGGUGAUACAUUGUAAUUCUGGGACCCAUGAGCUUAGCAGGACAAAGGAAACCAUGAAUCACCCUAGUCCCAGAAGUACCUUUUCAUAGGCCCCAGGGAUUCCAACAUCAUUAUUCACUCUCCACUCUGCAAGUGACUUAGGUCGUGAGCAUCUCUGAGUCUGCACAGGCUCUGCCAUGUGGCUGUGGGGGUCCGGCUUCUCUGAUGGAUGGGAAGAUAAUGCUCGGGGCUCCAAUGCUAUUAUCUCCUCAUCUCUGUCACAAGGAGAUUUAUACUUAUGAUUUACCCUUUUCAUGAACAUGGGAAAAUUCUUUUUUCUAGUGUUGUUUCUGGAAUGUUCUUUGCUGUGUCUAAAUGAGCUGAUUCCACUGUUGGGAGAGGUGGAUGAUGUGAGCAGUAAGAAGGCAUUAGUUUCUUGAAAACUAGAUCCAUAUUUAGGUGAGAUGAAAUCAAACUACCUGAUUUUAAAAAAAACAAACUAUGUUUAUUUACCGUAUGUCUUGAUUCCUAUAUACAUUGAAAAAUUAUAUUCAUAAAACUGUUUAAAAUAAGAGAUGAUGGGCUGGACGCAGUGGCUCAUGCCUGUAAUCUCAGCACUUUGGGAGGCCAAGGCGGGCAGAUCACUUGGGCCCAGGAGUUCGAGACCAGGCUGGGCAACACGGCAAAACCCUGUUUCUACAAAAAAUGCAAAAAUUACCAGGGUGUGGUGGUGUGUGUCUGUAGUAUCAGCUACUCAGGAAGCUGAGGUAGGAGGAUUCCUUGAGCCCAGGAGGUGGAGGUUACAGUGAGCU
ensembl:lncRNA novel transcript